CUGUGACAGAAGUGAACUGUAACCUGAGCUGCAGUAGACGUGAUCUCUGCUCAUUUCUCGUCUUCACUCCUCAUUGGAGAAUUUCCUUCAGUGAGGAUCUUCACCGACUGCUGCCUCAAACAGUCGACUCCUACAAACAUCGUGGGUGCUCAAGCCAACAAACCACUCUGUAGCUAAGUGAAAAUCAGGCAAAAGAAAUACAAUGAAAGCUUCCAUUUUCCUGUUGGUGGCGCUCUCUGGAGCUGUGCUCUGCAUGACUAACAGCCGUGUAGAGAAAUUCAAAAAUCAGCAUAUCAUCAGCAGCGUCCCACAAGGAGGGUGUGAUGAUCUGAUUAAAGAAAGGGACAUCAGAGAUUAUGAUAACAACUGUAAGUCAAAGAAUACCUUCAUCAUUGGUAACUAUCAGCAAGUUAGAACAAUCUGUAAUCCAGAUAAUUAUGUUCACCUUGACAAUCUGUAUAGAAGUCCCACAAGUAUGGACAUUCUGCAUUGUGAACUGAGCGGUGGAACAAAUGAUAAUCCUUGUAGUUACCAAAACAAGAGGAUGAAAAGGCAAAUUACAAUUGCAUGUAAUAAAAUCGAUAAUUUUCUUCAGCCUGUACACUUUGAAUGUUGUUGAGCUGUUGUGUACAUGCUGUGAUCUUUAAACAUCACUUCAUGAUGUUGCUGUGGAGAUGCUUUUAAAGACUUUAAAUU